UCAGAGGCUGAGAAAAUCAAAACCGUAAUCAGCACAACUAAACCUUUUACACGUGCAGCCACUGGUCUUGAGUUGUGUCAGCGGGUACAGGCCAAUCAGCAAAGCGCUACAGGGCCGUGCAGAGAAACUAUCAGGAAAUGGCAGCUCCGCUCUAGCGGUCUUCCUGCAACACUUUAUACAGCAAGUUUUUGCAUGUUUGGCAGUUUUUUUUUCUGAUCGCUAGUUUUCUACUGGUUUUUCGCUCAGCGUGCGAUUUAUCUGAGUCUUAUUUCGGAGUGGCUCUUUUUUUUUUUUUUUUUGGAGGCAGAAGGUGUGGAUUGAGUUGAGGAGUAUUCCAGCAUAGAGUGGGCACGGUCCUUGGCAGAGAAGAAAAAUGCUCCUGAACCUCCUCACACUUCUUCUGAUGCCUUCUCCCACAACACCCACAUGGAGAUUUCCGCUGCAAAAUUGACGGCUCUAUCUACCCCCCCAGAGAAGUCAGAGGAGAGGGGUCACUCGUGUGUCCAUCAUUUGAGCCAGUAGGAGAGCAAGUGCUCCUUCACCUGGGGCUCAGGCACUAUUUUUAAUAAAACAUUAUAUUUUAUAAGUAUGUUUCAGACUUUUGUGUGUGUGUGUGUGAAAUUACACAUUGUGUAACAGAGUUCGUGCUACUGCCAUUUGUUUUCAUUUUGUGCCAUUUGGAGAGGUUAUUUUUGUGCCUUUAAAAAAAAAAGUUUGCUAUUUCUAGAAGUCUGCAAUUUUUAAAGGCUUUGUGCCUUUUAGAGAGGUUUUAUGUCAUUUAGAGACGUUUGCUGACAUUUGGAGAGGUUUUUAACCUGCAUUUGGAUAACCUUACACACAAUUUCAGUGGUUAGAGAUAACUUCCUCAUAUUUUGGGUGUUCAUGGACAAGGACUUGGGGCAUCUUUGAGACCAGGAGUGGGGUUGACCUCAACAUUUGCUGUGAAGAUAUAACACACACA